rnacentral:rRNA from 1 species
CAGCAGCCGCGGUAACACGUAGGGUGCAAGCGUUAAUCGGAAUUACUGGGCGUAAAGCGUGCGCAGGCGGUUAUAUAAGACAGAUUUGAAAUCCCCGGGCUCAACCUGGGAACUGCAUUUGUGACUGUAUAGCUAGAGUACGGCAGAGGGGGAUGGAAUUCCGCGUGUAGCAGUGAAAUGCGUAGAUAUGCGGAGGAACACCGAUGGCGAAGGCAAUCCCCUGGGCCUGUACUGACGCUCAUGCACGAAAGCGUGGGGAGCAAACAGGAUUAGAUACCCCCGUAGUCCCUGUCUCUUAUAC